rnacentral:rRNA from 1 species
UACGUAGGGUGCGAGCGUUGUCCGGAAUUAUUGGGCGUAAAGAGCUUGUAGGCGGUUUGUCGCGUCUGCCGUGAAAAUCCGAGGCUCAACCUCGGACUUGCGGUGGGUACGGGCAGACUAGAGUGUGGUAGGGGAGACUGGAAUUCCUGGUGUAGCGGUGAAAUGCGCAGAUAUCAGGAGGAACACCGAUGGCGAAGGCAGGUCUCUGGGCCACUACUGACGCUGAGAAGCGAAAGCUAGGGGAGCAAACAGG